rnacentral:rRNA from 1 species
GUGAGGAAUAUUGGUCAAUGGGAGCAAUCCUGAACCAGCAAUGCCGCGUGUGGGAUGACAGGGCUUCGCCUUGUAAACCACUGUCGGACGGGACGAAAGGAGGCCUCGGGCCUCUGGGACGGUACCGUCAAAGGAAGGGUCGGCUAACUACGUGCCAGCAGCCGCGGUAAUACGUAGGACCCGAGCGUUGUCCGGAUUUACUGGGUAUAAAGGGUGCGUAGGCGGCCUUGUGCGUCAGAGGUGAAAUAUCCGGGCUUAACCCGGAGGGUGCCUUUGAUACGGCAGGGCUUGAGUGCGAGAGAGGAUGAUGGAAUUCCUGGUGUAGCGGUGAAAUGCGUAGAUAUCAGGAGGAACACCGGUGGCGAAGGCGGUCAUCUGGCUCGUAACUGACGCUGAGGCACGAAAGCGCGGGGAUCAAACAGGAUUAGAUACCCCGGUAGUCC